rnacentral:snoRNA from 1 species
AUCCUUUUGUGGUUCAUAAGCAUGAUGAAUGGGUGUUCACGUACUUGUGUGAGGUGUGCCUCCCUCGAACCUUGUUAUGAUGUCAGCACAUUACUCAUCUGACG